ACAUGAAGCUGGAAUCGCUAGUAAUCGCGGAUCAGAAUGCCGCGGUGAAUACGUUCCCGGGUCUUGUACACACCGCCCGUCACACCAUGGGAGUCGGAAAUGCCCGAAGUCUGUGACCCAACCUGAGGGGGAGGGAGCAGCCGAAGGCAGGUCGGAUGACUGGGGUGAAGUCGUAACAAGGUACC
rnacentral:rRNA from 1 species